rnacentral:rRNA from 1 species
UACGGAGGGUGCGAGCGUUGUCCGGAAUCACUGGGCGUAAAGGGCGCGUAGGUGGCGCGGGAAGUCAACGGUGAAAGUUCGGGGCUCAACCCUGAAUCGGCCGUCGAUACUCCCGGGCUCGAGCACUGUAGAGGCAGAUGGAAUUCCGGGUGUAGCGGUGGGAAUGCGUAGAGAUCCGGAAGAACACCGGUGGCGAAGGUGGUCUGCUGGGCAGUUGCUGACACUGAUGCGCGACAGCGUGGGGAGCAAACAGGGAUUAGAAACCCCUGGUAGAUCCAGACCAAGUCCAGUGCCAUGCCGUAAUCACGACCC